rnacentral:lncRNA from 1 species
AUCUCAGAUUUUUCGAUAUAUAUCACUUAUUUGUACCAUAUAUAUACUAAUAUACCAUAUUUAUACUCUAAAUAUGCAUGUUUACUAUCAACGUGAAUCUCGACUAUAGAGCGAAGCGAAAGGUUGCCAACUUCGUUUCAAGAAAUUGGGGCAAUGGUCGGGAAAAAAUGUUUUAAAAUCUAAUAAAAUGUCACUUACCGGUCUAAUCAACGAGUACUUGCUGUUCCCAUAUAAUUAUCCUUAUCGAAUAUCAAUAUCCAGACAUAAUAUAUAACUGUUUAAACACUUUUAAUUAAUUUUUUCGCUGGCGGUGUUGCGGUUUUUUUGUCCAUUCAACUUCGAUCAACGGAAGUU